AAUAGAUACCCCGGUAGUCCACGCCGUAAACGGUGGGCGCUAGGUGUGGGGGACUUUCCACGUCCUCUGUGCCGCAGCUAACGCAUUAAGCGCCCCGCCUGGGGAGUACGGCCGCAAGGCUAAAACUCAAAGGAAUUGACGGGGGCCCGCACAAGCGGCGGAGCAUGUGGCUUAAUUCGACGCAACGCGAAGAACCUUACCAAGGCUUGACAUGCAGGGAAAUCUCGUAGAGAUACGGGGUCCGCAAGGGCUCUGCACAGGUGGUGCAUGGUUGUCGUCAGCUCGUGUCGUGAGAUGUUGGGUUAAGUCCCGCAACGAGCGCAACCCUUGUCCUAUGUUGCCAGCGAGUAAUGUCGGGGACUCAUAGGAGACUGCCGGGGUCAACUCGGAGGAAGGUGGGGAUGACGUCAAAUCAUCAUGCCCCUUAUGUCUUGGGCUGCACACAUGCUACAAUGGUCGGUACAAAGGGCUGCGAGGCCGCAAGGUGGAGCGAAUCCCGAAAAAGCCGGCCUCAGUUCGGAUUGGGGU
rnacentral:rRNA from 1 species